rnacentral:rRNA from 1 species
CGUAGGAGGCGAGCGUUAUCCGGAUUUACUGGGUGUAAAGCGCACGUAGGCGGAUUUUUAAGUCAGGGGUGAAAUCCCGGGGCUCAACCCCGGAACCGCCUUUGAUACUGGAGAUCUGGAGUCCGAGAGAGGUGAGUGGAAUUCCGAGUGUAGAGGUGAAAUUCGUAGAUAUUCGGAGGAACACCAGUGGCGAAGGCGGCUCACUGGCUCGGUACUGACGCUGAGGUGCGAAAGCGUGGGGAGCAAACAGG